UGUAGGGUGGAGCAGAGUUAUGAAGUGCUUUGAAAGUGUUUGUAUAUCCAAAAUUGAAAAGUAUUUGAAGCUACAAACCUGAAGUUGUGAAGUUGAUUGCUGCUCUUUAAAGCAGUGAUCUGGUUUUGCCACUUCCAGAAUAAUUGUAUUAUGUGGAAAAUGAAGGUUCACUGGAGAGCAGAUGGGUUCAGUUUCUUAAAGUAAUUUUAUUCAAGGUGCAUAGCACAACUUGUUUCUGACCUCUUGGGUCCUUCUUCUGGUGCAGUGCACUGCACGGUUUGCAGCUUCAAAUACUUUUCAAUUUUGGACAUUAUAAAUUUUGCCUUAUUUGAAUACUACUAUAAUUAUGCUUGAAGAACGACCCUACACAAGCACCCAGGACAGCAGCAACACCUUUGCUUAUACUGAAGCUGAUAUCGCAUUAUUGCAGCUGCGAAUACUAUAAUUACAUUACAUGAUUCUACUGAUAACAAAAACUUUCAUUAUCCGGUAUAUUUUUGUAUAUUUGUUUCUUGCAUGAAUCUUGAUUUCUUAAUGGACUUAUUGCACUUUUAAUAUAUUUGAUGGAGCAUAAUUGUAGUUCAUUGUAGUAUCAUAUACUGAAUAAUGUUAUUUUAUGUUUACUGCCUCUCACUUUGCCAAUGUCUUCUUUUGUCAGAGGAUCUGUCCAUCACAGCCUGUCAGAUUUUGCCUUUCUAUCUGGGUUUCUUGCUGACAGAAUCCUUCGACCACGUGCAAAGAUAAACCCAGAGCAGUUUUAGCAAGCAACCAUCACAUCAGCCCUAACCUUCCUGCAGAAUCAUUUAGCACUUUGCAAGCGCAACAGACCUGACAGGGAACUGCAGUAUAUCGUGAGAAAAUGGUUUAAAUGCAGCUAUGGAUGAAAUUUCACUGCAUGGAGUAGGCCAAUAUAGAAAUGUUAAUUGGUUUGGAGGACUGAAGGGAUAAAUGAUACUCAGGCUUACUUGGAGUUCUUCUUGUUGCUAGAGGGCUACCUAACCCUAGGCUAUCAACCCUAAUUCCCACCCCCACCCCUCCUCCUUAGCUGUCAAAGCUAUAGGAGACAAAGUUUUGUGCAAUACCAUCCAAUACCAGAUUUCCACAACAAUGGGAGCAUAUCAGAGCAAGUAAGAAGAAAAACGUCACAAUGGACACAGCUUUUUGGUCAGCAGCAUGAACCCAUUUUUACAGUAUUAAAAAGCAUGUAUAUUUGCACAACCUUAAACUUUGUAGCACAGUAGAUAUUUUCUAAUUUAAUUUUAUUAUUUACAAUAUAUAUUUCUUAUUUGAGUCUUCUUUAGCUUUAGUCAGUGAACUAAAUUCAGCACGUUUUAGAGAGCUAUUGUAAAGAUAAUAAGUAAGGUGUCCUUGCUCUACAUGUAUUGCUGGGUAAACAGUCAAUAGUAAACACAAGUAUGGUUACCCAGCAAAUAUCCUUAAGAAUGAAUAAACAGACAGCAGACAGACAAGAGUCAGAUUGAGUAAUAAACUGAGUCUUGGUUAAAGAGAUACAAAGUUCUUGCUGAUCUUUUAGAAUUGCAUAGGACAGCAUUUUGGACUGAAGACCUACAGCUAACAAUAUUACCUAUGUCAGCAUUCAGGGUUAGAUGUUGAGUAUAAAGGACACCUUCAUUUUUGGAUUAGGAGCUUCGCCCCGGACCCAUGAGUGGUGCCAGGAUUUGGCUUGAUUAUCGGGAACCUGAGGGUGAUGAACUAAAGAUUGUGGGGCUCCCCGAUUGUGCUGAAUUGGUGCAGAACUGGCUAUUCUUGUAAUUACCAUCAUAUGAAAUCUCUCUGGAAAUCUUCCUAGCCCCUGAGUGAAGAGAUCAGAGCAUGUAUUUUACCAGACUUUCCAAUCACAAAUUCCAG